CUGGUUGAUCCUGCCAGUAGUCAUAUYGCUUGUCUCAAAGAUUAAGCCAUGCAUGUCUAAGAAUAAACCCUUGAACGGUGAAUCUGCGAAUGGCUCAUUAAAUCAGUUAUUGUUUAUUUGAUGGUGCCUUACUACUUGGAUAACCGUAGUAAUUCUAGAGCUAAUACAUGCGCCAAGCCCUGACUUCGGAAAGGGUGCAUUUAUUAGAUUCAAACCAUCGGUCCGUCUGGGCAACUGGGCGUGGCCUUUGAUGGUGAGUCAUAAUAACUUAGCGAAUCGAAUGGCCUUGAGCCGUCGAUGCUUCAUUCAAAUUUCUGCCCUAUCAGCUUUCGAUGGUAGGAUCUUGGCCUACCAUGGCUAUAACGGGUAACGGGGAAUUAGGGUUCGAUUCCGGAGAGGGAGCUUGAGAAACGGCUACCACAUCCAAGGAUGGCAGCAGGCGCGCAAAUUACCCAAUCCCGACACGGGGAGGUAGUGACAAUAAAUAACGAUGCUGGAUUAUUCUUAAUCCGGCAAUUGGAAUGAGAGUGAAUUAAAUCUCCACUCGAGGAACCAUUGGAGGGCAAGUCUGGUA
rnacentral:rRNA from 1 species